UAUGAGAGAUCAGAGCGAGCUUAUGAAACAAUGGCGCUCUAGUUCCGUUGCGGGCAUAUACUGAUUAUCAGUCCUUUCUUCAUCUCUGCAAUUGUAUUUUACUGAUCGAUUGCUUCUGUAGAGAAAGGUACCCUCUCGCUUAACCUCGGAUUACUUCAGUGCCGCAGCGUCUGGUAUUCGAACAUUGGCUCGAGGCACCUUAAAAAGUAGGAAAGGAUGACCUAGUUUGAUUUGGAACGAAGCGUCUGGUAUUCGAACAUUGGCUCGAGGCACCUUAAAAAGUAGGAAAGGAUGACCUAGUUUGAUUUGGAACGAAGCGUCUGGUAUUCGAACAUUGGCUCGAGGCACCUUAAAAAGUAGGAAAGGAUGACCUAGUUUGAUUUGGAACGAAGCGUCUGGUAUUCGAACAUUGGCUCGAGGCACCUUAAAAAGUAGGAAAGGAUGACCUAGUUUGAUUUGGAACGAAGCGUCUGGUAUUCGAACAUUGGCUCGAGGCACCUUAAAAAGUAGGAAAGGAUGACCUAGUUUGAUUUGGAACGAAGCGUCUGGUAUUCGAACAUUGGCUCGAGGCACCUUAAAAAGUAGGAAAGGAUGACCUAGUUUGAUUUGGAACGAAGUUUAAGAAAAGGAAGAACAUAUUUUAAUUUUGUGCUUCUAAAUUAAAGUUAUGUAAAUGUACAAAAAUGUUCUUUAAUGUUGUAGUUUUAAACAUGUAGUUAAAGUUUAAA